rnacentral:rRNA from 1 species
AGGUUUCGAUCGNAACUCUGUUGUUAGGAAAAACAGUCCGUUCAAUGGGCGGACCUUGACGGUCCUACCNAAAGCCACGGCUACUACGUGCCAGCAGCCGCGGUAUACGUAGGUGGNAGCGUUUGUCCGAAUUAUUGGGCGUAAAGCGCGCGCAGGCGGUUUCUUAAGUCUGAUGUUGAAGCCCCCGGCUCAACCGGGGAGGGUCAUUGGAAACUGGGGAACUUGAGUGCAGAAGAGGAGAGUGGAAUUCCACGUGUAGCGGUGAAAUGCGUAGAGAUGUGGAGGAACACCAGUGGCGAAGGCGACUCUCUGGUCUGUACUGACGCUGAGGCGCGAAAGCGUGGGGAGCGAACAGGAUUAGAUACCCUGGUAGUCACGCCGUAAACGAUGAGUGCUAGUGUUAGAGG